AUGGCUCGGCUUGCCGUCCUGCUCGUGGCCAUCGCCGCCGUGCUCCUCGCGCGCCGAGCCGCCGCCGAGUACCCAUGGCCAGUCUGCGGCAGCACCGGCAGCUUCGCGGCCAACGACACCACUUACCUGGCGAGCAUCAGCGCCAUGGCCGCCACCCUCCCUAGGAACGCCUCGGCGUCCCCGGGCGGCCUCUACGCCACGGCGCGGGCCGGCCAGGUCCGGGCCCUCGCGCUCUGCCGCGGCGACGCCAACGCCACCGCCUGCUCCGACUGCCUCUACCAGGGGUUCCAGGACCUGCCCAGCGCCUGCGCCUACACCAAGGAGGCCACCAUGUACUACGACCCCUGCUUCCUCCACUACUCCGACGCCGACCUGCGCGCCUCCGACGACACCGCGUUGGGCUCGGCGUUCAGCACCGCCUACAGCGCUAACGCCACGGCGGAACCGGCCCGCUUCGACCGCGUCGUGGCCGCGCUCCUCAACGCCACCGCGGACUAUGCCGCCUACAACUCCUCCAGGAUGAGGUUGUAUGCGUCCGGGGUGGUCCCCUUCGACCGGGAGAUCCCGGAGGUGUACAGCUGGGCGCAGUGCACGCCGGACCUCACGCCGGCGCGCUGCCGGGAUUGCCUCGCCAACAUGAUCCAGGAGUUGGGGACGCCGCUGUACAGCGUCGGGGCGAGGGCUCUUGGGAUCAGGUGCAGCGUCCGGUACGAGAACAGGCCCUUCCUUGAUGGCCCGGUCAUGCUGCGCCUACCAGCAACUGGAGCUCCAGCGCCGUCGCCGGCGCCGGCGCUGGAUAUGGUGCCCAAUGUUGUGACGCCGUUGGCUGCGGUCGGAGGAGGGAGAAAGUACAGUGUUCCUGGCAUGGUUCUUAUAGUUGUGCUGCCUACUCUAGCAGCCGCAAACCUUCUCGCCGGCUUAUUUAUCUGGAGGAGGAGGCGGCGAUCACCAGCACGAGCCAAGCAACCAUAUUCCAGUUACUCCACUGCAGGUAAGGACACUGAGAGUGUAGAUUCGAUGCUGAUGGACAUUUCAACUCUGCGAGCUGCCACCGGGGACUUCGCCGAGAGCAACAAGCUCGGCGAAGGAGGCUUUGGCGCGGUGUACAAGGGUACUCUACCAGAUGGCGAAGAGAUAGCUGUGAAGAGAUUAUCCAAGAGCUCGACGCAAGGAGUGGAGGAGCUCAAGAACGAGCUCGCCCUGGUGGUGAAGCUCAAGCACAAGAAUCUCGUCAGGCUUGUCGGCGUGUGCCUGGAGCAGCAGGAGCGGCUGCUCGUCUACGAGUUCAUCCCCAACCGGAGCCUCGACCAGAUCCUAUUUGACACUGAGAAAGGGGAGCAGCUUGACUGGGGAAAGAGGCAGAGGAUCAUACGUGGGAUCGCUCGAGGCCUGCAGUACCUCCAUGAAGACUCCCAGCUCAAGGUCGUCCAUCGUGAUCUCAAAGCCAGCAACGUGCUUCUCGACGCCGACAUGAACCCCAAGAUCUCCGACUUUGGCCUCGCGAGGCUCUUCGGGCGAGGCCAGACGCAGGGCGUCACCGACCGUGUCAUCGGCACAUAUGGAUACAUGGCGCCAGAGUACUUGAUGCGCGGGAACUACUCCGUGAAAUCGGAUGUGUUCAGCUUCGGGGUAAUGGCUCUGGAGAUCGUUACGGGAAGGAAGAACAGUGACACCUUGCAAUCUGAAGAUCUCUUGACCAUGAUCUGGCAGCAUUGGACGUCUGGAACGGUGCUGGAGAUGAUGGACCCGUGUAUGAACAACAGCUUCUCGGAGAGCGACGCGAGGAGGUGCAUCCAGGUCGGGCUAAUGUGCGUCCAGGAGAACCCGGUGGACAGGCCGGUGAUGUCUGCGGUGGGCAUGAUGCUUGGGAGCGACAUGGUGUCCCUCGGUGCCCCGUCAAAGCCAGCGUCAAUGUUUUACACUAGGAACGCUGGUGCCGACUCCGGAAAUGGGUUUAGUAUCUCGACUAUUUCACUGAAUGAUGAUCCCAAGGAUCAUUUCUAG
rnacentral:rRNA from 1 species